CUUUGUAAUCCUCAGACUUGAAAAUUUAAAAUUUACCAUCUUCAAAUCACUGAUUCUUUCUUCUUCCUGUUUGAGUCUGUGAUUGAACUCUUCUAGUGACUUUUUCAAUUCAGUUGUGUUUUUUAGCUCCAGAUUUUCCACUUGAUUCUUUUUUAUAGUUUUUCUUUUUGUCAGUAUUCUCAUUUUGUAAAUAUAUCGUUUUUCUGAUUUCAUUUAGCUGUUUCUCCAUGUUCUCCUUUAGCUCAUUGACUAUAUUUGAGACAGUUGUUUUAAAAUUUGUCAAGUCUGAAGCAUGUGUUUCAUUAGUGUCUGUUUCUGAAAAUUUAUUUUGCUCCUUUGAAUGGACCAUAUUUCACUGCUCUUCAUAUGUUUUGUGAUAUUUUGUUGAAAAUUUGGGAUUUUCAAAAAUAGCCACCUCUCCCAGUCUUUGAAAACUGGCUCCAUGCUGGAAUAGAUCUUCCCUAGUCAGCCUGGUGUAAAAGCUCAAGGUCUUCUCAUGUCUUUUCUAGAAAUGUGUCAUUCUUUAGCAUGUGCUUUCCCUCCCUCUGAUUCCCCUACAUACAUGGCUGUUACUAAAUGUCUUAAUUUUUCUAAAAAUCUCAUCUCACACUUAUUCUCAAGACAUUAUGUGUUAUAUUUUAUUUCCCUCCCUGUAAUCUCUUGCCUCCAGGCUCCAAUGGGCCUGCAUUUCCCCUGGAGCUCUCACAUGCCAUGGUGCCCACCACUGCUUUCAGCAGCCUUCAACCUGAAGACCAAACUAUGCCACAAUUCCUGGCAAUGCUUUGAGUCAAGCAAGACAUCAACCAGUCCCUCAGAGAAGCCAGACUGAUGUAACAAAGUUCCAUUUUUUCCUUGCAUCCUAAGGGAGAAACUGGGAUUUGAGUGGCUUCCUCCUGACUGUGCUACAUUGCACUGAGAAGAGGGUGGGACAAGGGUGAAAAAAAAAUGCCACAUAACUUUCUACUGUUUUGAGUGUGGAUUUUCUGGAUUAGGUGCUUGCUUGAUUGCUGCAGCUUCUUAACUGGUUUCUAGAGCUCCUACAAGGUACUUUGGUCCUGGAGUGGAUGUUCAUUUGGUGUUUCUGUGCACAAAUGAAGGCAUGGAGUUUCCUAGUCUACCAUAUAGCUGAUGUCACUCAGAAUUGCAAGUCAUGUAGACCAGAAAUUAAGUCUUGGAUCUCCUUCUUACCAAUGUGGGGACUUUAGGAGGAACAUGGUAUCUCUUUGUGCCUUGGUUUUCUUAUCUGAGAAAUGAGAUAAUGACAGGAGGCAUGAAGCCAUACCCCUCAAGAUGGAAGACAUCAGCAUUUGGAAGUACAUGUGAGGAGGGCAAAGGAAUAUGCAGAGUGAAGUGCAAAAAACUUGAAAAUGAAGUACACUACUGUGCAAAUGGCAAAAAGUGCUGCCUAAGUUCAUCUGCACCCGUUCCUACUAAUACAAUAGAGGAUGCUGACUGGGGAAAAACAAGGGUCACAAGCUCAUCUAAUUACUCAAGAUUACCAAACUUUUCUGCUUCUGGAAAUCUUUUAUCUCAAAUCCUUUCACUAUAAAAAUGUAUUUCCACCUUC